UACAGAGGUGCGAGCGUUAAUCGGAAUUACUGGGCGUAAAGCGCACGUAGGCGGAUCAGCAAGUUAGGGGUGAAAUCCCGGGGCUCAACCCCGGAACUGCCUCUAAAACUGUUGAUCUCGAGUUCGGGAGAGGUGAGUGGAAUUCCGAGUGUAGAGGUGAAAUUCGUAGAUAUUCGGAGGAACACCAGUGGCGAAGGCGGCUCACUGGCCCGAAACUGACGCUGAGGUGCGGAAGCGUGGGGAGCAAACAGG
rnacentral:rRNA from 1 species